rnacentral:rRNA from 1 species
CACGUAGGGCGCAAGCGUUGUCCGGAAUUAUUGGGCGUAAAGAGCUCGUAGGUGGUUUGCUGCGUCCGCUGUGAAAACCCAAGGCUUAACCUUGGGCUUGCAGUGGAUACGGGCAGACUAGAGGUAGGUAGGGGAGAAUGGAAUUCCCGGUGUAGCGGUGAAAUGCGCAGAUAUCGGGAGGAACACCGGUGGCGAAGGCGGUUCUCUGGGCCAAUAUUGACGCUGAGGUGCGAAAGCGUGGGGAGCAAACAGG